GUUUCAAUUCCUCAUAGGCAGGCUAUCGGCCCUUCUUUUUUAUAUAAAGAGAGACCAGAGAUGUUUG
rnacentral:sRNA from 1 species